GCCAUUGCAGUCCAGCCUGAGCAACAGAGCAAGACUCUGUCUCGAGACAAUAAAAACACACAAAAAAUUAACUCGCCAUGUGCCACCACGCCUGGGUAAUUUUUGUAUUUUUAGUAGAGACAGGGUUUAGUAGAGACCAUGGUGAAACCCCGUCUCUAUUAAACAAAUCUCUACUAACCCCAUCUCUACAAAAAACAGCUGGG
rnacentral:lncRNA from 1 species